AUGGAGCGGGUGUCCAGGCUGCUCUCCUGGACUGAGCCGAGUUCUGUGGCUGUCAGGCCUCUCUGAGGCGGGAGCUGCCCGGCAGCCCCGGAUCAUGGAAGAGCAAGCGCUAGAGGUUUAUGAUUUGAUUCUAACUCUCCGGGAUCCAGAAAAACCCAAUACUUUAGAAGAACUGGAAGUGGUAACGGGAGAGUUGUGUGGAAGUUCAGGAGAUAAAUGAAGAAGACUAUCUGGCUAUUAUCAGGUUCACACCAACAGUACCUCAGUAACUCUUAUUGGGUUGUGCUUAAGAGUAACAUUUCAGCGAUGUUUGCCAUUUAAACACAAGUUGGAAAUCUACAUUUCUGAAGGAACCCACUCCACAGAGGAAGACAUCAACAAGCAGAUAAACGACAAAGAACGGGUGCCAGCUGCAAUGGAGAGCCCCAACUUACGGGAAAGCGUGGAACAAUGUGUCCUUAGCCUGACUGAUCGCUGCUUCAAGAGCCACUGAGCUGUAAUUGUUAUAUUUGUUUUACCUUUGCAAAAUGUAAAAGACUCAUGUUUAAUACAUAGGUGAUUUGUACCUCAAAACAUUUUAUAAAGUUUUAAUUACAAGGUAGGACCUAAUUUGUGUAGUAAAAAACAUCCUCAGGAUUUGUAACACUGAAUUGAUCGGACAGAAACCUAUUUUCUAGUUACUGUGUAUAAGAUGUGUUACUAUUUUUCUGAUACCCAUUCUGAUACAGCUACAUUUCGUGUCAAAUAUUGCGAUGUCCAAAUGUAUUAAAUUUAAAUCAGUAUUCUAAAAUAAAUGAUUCUUACAA